ensembl:lncRNA
AAAGAUUCUUAAACCAUGCCAGAUUUUGGCCAAUGACCAUGUGUGCGUAUGUGCGUGUGUGUGUGUGCGUGUGUGCAUGUGUGUGUGCGUGUGUAUGUGUGUGUGCAUGCGUGUAUGUGUUUCGCUACAGAUGCAGUGAAAAUGAAGAUGUAACAACUCGGAAAAGGACGAUUAUUGGAAAUAGGAAUGCAGUCCCCUGAGGAGAUAUCCAAAAUCAAAACGAAUCCUAACAGGCAGCGAAAUCACCAAAGGGGUUUUAUUGCAGAGGGAUCCUUUGUCUUCGUGGAGGCCGGGGACCAGCGGGGGCCAGGCCGGGGACCAGGCCGGGGACCAGGCCGGGGACCCGCCGGGGACCCGCCGGGGCCCACGCUGAGAUCAGUGGAACCGUUCGUUGUGUCAGCAGCAUGCGGGCCGUGAGCGGUGUGGGGAGGAGGUGUAGCACUACAGGUAUUCCCACGCUGACUCACACCGGGUCCUGUUAACAGCACAGCCCCGAGCCACGCCCUCUGACCCAGGAGUUACCCCGAGCCCCGCCCUCUGACCCAGGAGUUACCCCGAGCCCCGCCCUCUGACCCAGGAGUUACCCCGAGCCCCGCCCUCUGACCCAGGAGUUACCCCGAGCCCCGCCCUCUGACCCAGGAGUUACCCCGGGUAGUUUGGUGGGAAUCUUCGUCUGUUUGUCGGUCUGUGUUCCCCGGUGUUCAGGACCCCUGGGAGCUGUUAGUGGCCCCCGCUGUGUGUGUGUCCGUGUGUGUGUUUGUCUGUGUGUGUGUGUGUGUGUGCGUGUGUGUGUGUGUUUGUCUGUGUGUGUUUGUGUGUGCGUGUGUGUGUUUGUGUGUGUGUGUGUGCGUUUGUGUGUGUGUGUGUGUGUGUGUGCGUGUGUGUGUGUGUGUGUGUGCGUGUCGGAAGGAAGGAGAAAAUAGUUUUCUGCAGAAUCCCCUGCGGGCUUUGUGCAGCUCCCCCGGACGAGGAUUUGAUUUAAUGUACAGACUGCAGCGAGGAUGAAACAACGACCGCAAUAUACGGUCACAGAGAGAUGGGGAGUGAGAGAGAGAGAGAGAGAGAGAGAGAGAGAGAGAGAGAGAGAGAGAGAGAGACUCUAAUAGGCAGGUGGAUCUUGAGUCUCAGGAGAGAGAUUUCCUGGCAGCAUUGUUCGACUCUGCCUGUGUUUGUGU